GAUGAACGCUAGCGAUAGGCUUAACACAUGCAAGUCGAGGGGCAGCAUGGUCUUAGCUUGCUAAGACUGAUGGCGACCGGCGCACGGGUGCGUAACGCGUAUGCAACUUGCCUCACAGAGGGGGAUAACCCGUCGAAAGACGGACUAAUACCGCGUACACUUGGGAUGGGGCAUCCUGACCCAAGGAAAUGAAAUUCGCUGUGAGAUAGGCAUGCGUCCCAUUAGCUAGUUGGUGAGGUAACGGCUCACCAAGGCGACGAUGGGUAGGGGAACUGAGAGGGUGAACCCCCACACUGGUACUGAGACACGGACCAGACUCCUACGGGAGGCAGCAGUGAGGAAUAUUGGUCAAUGGGCGAGAGCCUGAACCAGCCAAGUCGCGUGAAGGAUGACUGUCUUAUGGAUUGUAAGCUUCUUUUAUACGGGAAUAACAAGAGCCACGUGUGGCUCCCUGCAUGUACCGUAUGAAUAAGCAUCGGCUAACUCCGUG
rnacentral:rRNA from 1 species